AUUGAACGCUGGCGGCAGGCCUAACACAUGCAAGUCGAACGAGUGGCGGACGGGUGAGUAAUGUCUGGGCAACUGCCUGGUGGAGGGGGAUAACUAAUGGAAACGGUAGCUAAUACCGCAUACCAUCAGAUGUGCCCAGAUGGGUAUAGCAAGUGGGUGGGGUAACGGCUGACCAAGGCGACGAUCCCUAGCUGGUCUGAGAGGAUGACCAGCCACACUGGAACUGAGACACGGGCCAGACUCCUACGGGAGGCAGCAGUGGGGAAUAUUGCACAAUGGGCGCAAGCCUGAUGCAGCCAUGCCGCGUGUAUGAAGAAGGCCUUCGGGUUGUAAAGUACUUUCAGCGAGGAGGCGUUACCCGCAGAAUAAGCACCGGCUAACUCCGUGCCAGCAGCCGCGGUAAUUC
rnacentral:rRNA from 1 species